GGCCAUAGCUUAGUGGCAGAGCACCUGCUUUGCAUGCAGAAGGUCCCAGGUUCAAUCCUUGCCAUCUCCA